AUGGCGAGGUGGCGGCCGGCUAUGCUGCUGGUAGCGGCGCUGGCGCUGGCGGCGGCCGCCGGGUGGCGGGCGGAGGCGCUCUCGGUGACCGUGACGGACACCGAGUGCAUCCACGAGUUCGUGCCCUACGAGGGCGACUCCGUCUCGGGCAACUUCGUCGUCGUCGACCACGACAUCUUCUGGAGCUCCGACCACCCCGGCAUCGACCUCACGGUAACUUCACCAGGUGGUAACACUGUAUAUACGAUGAAGGGAAAGUCUGGUGACAAAUUUGACUUCAAAGCUCCAAGGGGUGGAAUGUAUAAGUUUUGCUUCCAUAAUCCAUAUGGGGCACCUGAAACUGUUUCUUUCUACAUUCAUGUUGGGCACAUACCCAAUGAGCACAAUUUGGCGAAAGAUGAGCACUUGGACCCUAUCAAUGUGAAAAUUGCAGAGCUGAAGGAAGCACUGGAAUCUGUCACUGCCGAGCAGAAGUACCUAAAAGCACGUGACGCUCGUCACCGACACACAAACGAGAGCACCAGGAGGCGUGUCAUGUUCUACACUAUGGCGGAGUAUGCGGCUUUCAUGGCCGCCAGUGCGUUGCAAGUCGUUUACAUCCGCCGCCUGUUCAGUAAAAACGUGGGGUACAACAGGGUCUAG
rnacentral:rRNA from 1 species